rnacentral:misc_RNA from 1 species
AAACAUAAUUUGGAAGCUCCACUUUUGGACUCUACUUCUCCUCUUUGUUCUAAUACAAAGAAAAAAUGGAGCUUUUUUUCUUUGCUUUUUAUUUGCAUUCAUUGCCAUAACAUUUGUUGGGCUUACACAUCAUGGAGACAUUGGUGUAUGGCUAAUUGGAGAUGUAAAUAGUAGUAGAUAUAAUGAAAGACUACAGCACAAUGCUGAUGUUGUUGAAUCAGAGGAAGCAGUUGUUGCUGCUGAUGAUGGUCGGUGCUCGAAAAUCGGUAUUUCUAUGCUUAAAAUUGGUGGACAUGCAGUUGAUGCUGCAGUUGCCACAGCAUUGUGCCUUGGAGUAGUGAAUCCAAUGGCUAGUGGAAUUGGCGGUGGCGGUUUUAUGGUUGUUAGAUCUUCAUCUACAUCAGAAGUCUUAGCUAUUGACAUGAGGGAAACUGCUCCUUUAGCUGCUUCACAGAACAUGUAUGAUAAUAAUGGGGACUCCAAGUUAAAUGGAGCAUUGUCUAUGGGAGUUCCCGGGGAGCUAGCUGGUCUUCACGCAGCUUGGUCGAAAUAUGGUAGGUUGCCCUGGAAGACACUAUUUCAACCAGCCAUUAAACUUGCCAGGGAGGGAUUCGUGGUUGCUCCAUAUCUCGGAAACUCUAUAGCUAAAAAAGCAAAAUUACUACUUAAAGAUCCUGGCUUGCGACAAGUAUUUGCACCUGAGGGAAAGCCAUUACGAGCAGGUGAAAUUUGUCAUAACGUAGAACUUAGCCACAGCUUAGAGCUAAUUGCUGAACAAGGGCCGGAAGCAUUUUAUAACGGAGAGGUUGGUGAAAAGCUUGUCGAAGAUGUGAAGAGAGCAGGUGGAAUUUUGACGAUGGACGACUUGAGAAAUUACAGAGUGGAAACUCCAGAAGCAGUUACUGUUAAUGCUAUGGGCUAUACAAUCGUUGGAAUGCCACCUCCGUCCAGUGGAACACUCGGGAUUUCUCUGAUUCUUAAAGUCGUUGAAAACUAUGUGAGUUCAAAUGCUGCGAAAGGUGCUUUAGGACUGCAUCGAAUGAUUGAGGCGAUGAAACACAUGCUUGCAGUUCGAAUGAACCUGGGUGAUCCCGACUUUGUAAAUAUCAGUAGUACUGUAUCUGACAUGCUUUCCUCGUCUUUCGCCAAAGAAAUUCAACAAAAGAUCUUUGACAAUACCACCUUUCCUCCUGAAUACUAUUUGCCCAGGUGGAGUCAGCUAAGAGAUCACGGAACGAGUCACUUUUGCAUUGUGGAUUCAGAUCGAAAUGCUGUAUCAGUGACUACCACAGUAAACUAUCCAUUUGGAGGCGGUGUACUCUCUCCAUCAACCGGUAUAGUACUCAACAAUGAAAUGGGAGAUUUCUCAACACCUAAUGAAAUAUCCCCCGAUAAACUCCCUCCCGCUCCUGCUAAUUUUAUUCAACCAAAAAAGAGACCGUUAUCAUCCAUGACUCCAGUUAUCGUUCUCAAGGACAAUCAAUUAGCUGGUGUAAUUGGUGGUAGUGGUGGACUAAAAAUCAUCUUUGCAGUCCUCCAAGUUUUCAUCAACCAUUUCGUCUUGGGGAUGGAUCCUUUAGCUGCAGUACAGAGUCCGAGAGUCUACCACGAGCUAAUCCCAAAUGUUGUUCUGUAUGAGAACUGGACAUGCAUAGAUGGCGAUCACAUUGAACUCUCGGAUGAUAAAAAGCAUUUCUUAGAAGAGAGGGGUCACAAACUUGAGGCAAGAAACGGAGGAGCCAUAUGUCAGUUAAUCGUUCAAAACCUUCCAAAUCCUCCGUUACAGAUGGGCAGAAGGAGCGGAAAAGAGUAUAAAGACGGUAUUUUUCGUGGUCUUCUUGUGGCUGUUAGUGAUCCUAGGAAAGAUGGAAGACCUGCAGCCAUCUGAUGAACUCAUCUUGCUUGAUUUGUGCAUAUGAAUCAGUCUAUUUUUUGUACAUAAUGUUUCGAAAACCGGCUAAAUAUCUCACUUUCCGGAGAAACAGUUUUUUAGCUGUGAUUUCUUUCCAUCUGUCUAAAUCUUGGUAAACAGUGUCUUAUGUACUCGGUGAAACAGUCGAGGUGUAUAAUAUGAAAUAUUCAUAGGAGACUGAAUGAAGAAG